UACGAAGGGGGCUAGCGUUGUUCGGAAUUACUGGGCGUAAAGCGCGCGCAGGCGGCUAUCCAAGUCGGUGGUGAAAGCCCGGAGCUCAACUCCGGAACUGCCAUUGAAACUGUUUAGCUUGAGGACGAGAGAGGUGAGUGGAAUUCCCAGUGUAGAGGUGAAAUUCGUAGAUAUUGGGAAGAACACCGGUGGCGAAGGCGGCUCACUGGCUCGUAUCUGACGCUCAGGCGCGACAGCGUGGGGAUCAAACAGG
rnacentral:rRNA from 1 species